rnacentral:lncRNA from 10 species
CUUCUGUAUCUCUCUGUGCUUUGAAAAUUAGGUGACAUUGAUAUGGAAUUAUUGCUCAUUUGCUACGUGUGAACAAAGGUAUCAUGGGUUUUUUUUUUUUUAAAGUAAUCCUUAUUUCUAAGAAAUACAUACUGAUGUUUUUACAGAGAAAAAUUAUGUAAUAACUGGAAUUUAGUAAUAAUACAGCAGGAGAGAAAAAAGUGGAAAAUGAUACACACAAACAAGAUCGGCCAUAUAGUUAUUAUAGGUAAAGUGGGGAUGGAUUUCAUUACUCUCCCUAUGUUUGUAUAUGUUAGGCAACACAAAUGUCAAACAAGACAGAGGAAGAAAGGCGGCAAAAUCCUUUGCAUACCUGGGGGUUUUCUUUCUUUGCCUUAAUUACUAACUUUCUGCAUUAGGUUACCUUCACAUGCUAAGAACAGUUGAAUUUUCAAUUUCCUAAGGCAUCAGCUUGCCCUUUUCUUUACAAGAGGGGCUGGGGACAUAAAAAAAGCAAAGGUGCUUCCUCAAAAGCUUCAGUGCCUGGCAGCUUUAUUCCCACUGACUUCCCC